GAGGAACUACGAGGUCUUCUUCCAUGUGCUUGUGUGGCAGGGUCAUCUUAGCUGUCUUGCUUCCGCCAUGGGCGGGCAGUGAAUACCAAUAACAUCACUUUGCCUGAUGAUGGUGGGGGAGCAUUGAGCGGGAUUUAUUUGGGAUUAAGGGACUCUUGCGAAAAUAUACUCAUUUAUGCUAUGGGAUUACUUGGUGGGACUAAUAUGGUUUGGCCCAAAUUGGUGCCGCCCAAUUCUAUGAUGUAACAUAAAGCCCCAUUUGUGGUACUUUGAACACGUGGAUAUAUUUCAGGUCCACCAUUCAUUUUUUU